AGAGUUGAUCCGGUCAGAUUGAACGCUGGCGGCAGGCCUAACACAUGCAAGUCGAGCGGAUGAAAGGAGCUUGCUCCGAUUCAGCGGCGGACGGGUGAGUAAUGCCUAGGAAUCUGCCUGGUAGUGGGGGACAACGUUUCGAAAGGAACGCUAAUACCGCAUACGUCCUACGGGAGAAAGCAGGGGACCUUCGGGCCUUGCGCUAUCAGAUGAGCCUAGGUCGGAUUAGCUAGUUGGUGAGGUAAUGGCUCACCAAGGCGACGAUCCGUAACUGGUCUGAGAGGAUGAUCAGUCACACUGGAACUGAGACACGGUCCAGACUCCUACGGGAGGCAGCAGUGGGGAAUAUUGGACAAUGGGCGAAAGCCUGAUCCAGCCAUGCCGCGUGUGUGAAGAAGGUCUUCGGAUUGUAAAGCACUUUAAGUUGGGAGGAAGGGUUGUAGAUUAAUACUCUGCAAUUUUGACGUUACCGACAGAAUAAGCACCGGCUAACUCUGUGCCAGCAGCCGCGGUAAUACAGAGGGUGCAAGCGUUAAUCGGAAUUACUGGGCGUAAAGCGCGCGUAGGUGGUUUGUUAAGUUGGAUGUGAAAUCCCCGGGCUCAACCUGGGAACUGCAUCCAAAACUGGCAAGCUAGAGUAUGGUAGAGGGUGGUGGAAUCUGUGUAGCGGUGAAAUGCGUAGAUAUAGGAAGGAACACCAGUGCGAAGGCGACCACCGAC
rnacentral:rRNA from 1 species